AAGGUCCUCUGGAUUGUAAACUUUCUUUUAGUCUAGGGAAGAAACCCAUUUUUCUAAAAUGGCUGACGGUACCAGAUGAAAUAAGCACCGGCUAACUCCGUGC
rnacentral:rRNA from 1 species